UAGGGAAUCUUCCGCAAUGGACGCAAGUCUGACGGAGCAACGCCGCGUGAGUGAAGAAGGAUUUCGGUUCGUAAAACUCUGUUGUUAGAGAAGAACAGCGCAUAGAGUAACUGUUAUGCGUGUGACGGUAUCUAACCAGAAAGCCACGGCUAACUACGUGCCAGCAGCCGCGGUAAUACGUAGGUGGCAAGCGUUGUCCGGAUUUAUUGGGCGUAAAGCGAGCGCAGGCGGUCAAUUAAGUCUGAUGUGAAAGCCCCCGGCUCAACCGGGGAGGGUCAUUGGAAACUGGUUGACUUGAGUGCAGAAGAGGAGAGUGGAAUUCCAUGUGUAGCGGUGAAAUGCGUAGAUAUAUGGAGGAACACCAGUGGCGAAGGUGACUCUCUGGUCUGUAACUGACGCUGAGGUUCGAAAGCGUGGGUAGCAAACAGG
rnacentral:rRNA from 1 species